UUUCAUGUCAGCUACACUUUGACAUACGUUUUAAAAAAUGUCUUUUCCUGUCGUUGUCCCGUGCAUCGAUUUAAUGUUCAAUAUUUCCUCUCCACGGAUGAAGAUGGCCAGCUGUGCAAUGUCCAUCAUGUCUAUACUUUCAUCCACAGCAAGAGAGUAUGCAAUGAAGUUUUUGCUUCUUUCACACAACUGUGUUCUUAAAUCAGUGGCCAUCUCACAAACCCGAUCAGCAAUCGUAUUUCUGCUCAGGCUCACAUUUGCCAAAAUCUGCGUUUUGUCUGGACACAAGACGUCGCACACCUUCAUCAUGCAGCUCUUCAGAGUGGUACCGGGCUGAUUUGGUUUCUCCUCUGCUACAAUAAAAUUUGCUUUCACAACAGCUUCACUUUGCGAUUUUGCUCUGAUGAAAAACGUCUGCUGAAAUGUCAGAUUCUUCUUUAGCUCUUCUACCUUCUGUAGUUUCUGGUCUGCAUUUAGGUUUUUCAGCUUAUCCUGAUGUUUUGUCUCGUAGUGCCGUCUUAAAUUAAAUUCCUUAAUUACAGCCACAUUAGCUCCACUAAUAAGACACACGGUUUUACCAGCAAUGUCUGUAAACAUAUAUUCAGUCACCCACUGGCGCUGAAAGGCUCUGUUUUCGGAAUCAACUUUUCUCUCCACCAUUGUGAGCAGCCAGCUUCGCAAUAAAAAUUUGACUUGAUUGACGCAGGAAUUUUCCCAGUUAGCCUAGUGUUCAGCAAGGAGGCUGCAGCACUGCAUUAUGGGAUCUGUUGUUUGUAUAUUAUUAGCACCUCAUAUUGCUGGGCCAUGCAUAACAAUAAUAAUAAAUCUAUAUAAAAUGAUC